rnacentral:rRNA from 1 species
GAUGAACGCUGGCGGCGUGCCUAAUACAUGCAAGUCGAGCGAACAGACGAGGAGCUUGCUCCUCUGACGUUAGCGGCGGACGGGUGAGUAACACGUGGAUAACCUACCUAUAAGACUGGGAUAACUUCGGGAAACCGGAGCUAAUACCGGAUAAUAUAUUGAACCGCAUGGUUCAAUAGUGAAAGACGGUUUUGCUGUCACUUAUAGAUGGAUCCGCGCCGCAUUAGCUAGUUGGUAAGGUAACGGCUUACCAAGGCAACGAUGCGUAGCCGACCUGAGAGGGUGAUCGGCCACACUCGAACUGAGACACGGUCCAGACUCCUACGGGAGGCAGCAGUAGGGAAUCUUCCGCAAUGGGCGAAAGCCUGACGGAGCAACGCCGCGUGAGUGAUGAAGGUCUUCGGAUCGUAAAACUCUGUUAUUAGGGAAGAACAAAUGUGUAAGUAACUAUGCACGUCUUGACGGUACCUAAUCAGAAAGCCACGGCUAACUACGUGC